UACACGACCGUACCGCAAACCGACACUGGUGCGCGAGAUGAGUAUUCUAAGGCGCUUGAGAGAACUCAGGAACUCGGCAAAUUGACACCGUAACUUCGGAAGAAGGUGUGCCUUUAGUAGGUGAAGUCCCUCGCGGAUGGAGCCCAAUGAGGUCCAAAAAAUCGGUGGCUGCGACUGUUUAUUAAAAACACAGCACUCUGCAAACACGAAAGUGGACGUAUAGGGUGUGACGCCUGCCCGGUGCGGGAAGAUUAAAUGAUGGGGUGCAAGCUCUUGAUUGAAGUCCCAGUAAACGGCGGCUGUAACUAUAACGGUCCUAAGGUAGCGAAAUUCCUUGUCGGGUAAGUUCCGACCUGCACGAAUGGCGUAACGAUGGCCACACUGUCUCCACCUGAGACUCAGCGAAGUUGAAAUGUUUGUGAUGAUGCAAUCUCCCCGCGGAAAGACGGAAAGACCCCAUGAACCUUUACUGUAGCUUUGUAUUGGACUUUGAACAGAUCUGUGUAGGAUAGGUGGGAGGCUUUGAAGUAGGGUCGCUAGAUCUUAUGGAGCCAACGUUGAAAUACCACCCUGGUGUGUUUGAGGUUCUAACCUAGGUCCAUUAUCUGGAUCGGGGACAGUGCAUGGUAGGCAGUUUGACUGGGGCGGUCUCCUCCCAAAGCGUAACGGAGGAGUUCGAAGGUACGCUAGUUACGGUCGGACAUCGUGACGAUAGUGCAAUGGCAUAAGCGUGCUUAACUGCGAGACUGACAAGUCGAGCAGAUGCGAAAGCAGGACAUAGUGAUCCGGUGGUUCUGUAUGGAAGGGCCAUCGCUCAACGGAUAAAAGGUACUCUGGGGAUAACAGGCUGAUACCGCCCAAGAGUUCAUAUCGACGGCGGUGUUUGGCACCUCGAUGUCGGCUCAUCUCAUCCUGGGGCUGUAGCCGGUCCCAAGGGUAUGGCUGUUCGCCAUUUAAAGAGGCACGUGAGCUGGGUUUAAAACGUCGUGAGACAGUUUGGUCCCUAUCUUCCGUGGGCGCUGCAGAUUUGAGGAAGCCUGCUCCUAGUACGAGAGGACCGGAGUGGACACACCUCUGGUGUAUCGGUUGUCACGCCAGUGGCAUUGCCGAGUAGCUAAGUGUGGAAGAGAUAACCGCUGAAAGCAUCUAAGCGGGAAACUCGUUUCAAGAUGAGAUCUGCCGGGGCCUUGAGCCCCCUAAAGAGUCGUUCAAGACCAGGACGUUGAUAGGUCAGGUGUGGAAGCGCAGUAAUGCGUUAAGCUAACUGAUACUAAUUGCUCGUGCGGCUUGACCA
rnacentral:rRNA from 1 species